GCGCCCGUAGCUCAGUUGGAUAGAGCGUUGGAUUCCGGUUCCAAAGGCCGGGGGUUCGAAUCCUCCCGGGCGCGCCA
rnacentral:tRNA from 2 species